rnacentral:rRNA from 1 species
UACGUAGGGGGCAAGCGUUGUCCGGAAUUAUUGGGCGUAAAGGGCUCGUAGGCGGUCCAUCGCGUCGGGAGUGAAAAGCUGGGGCUUAACCCCAGUCCUGCUUCCGAUACGGGUGGACUAGAGGUAGGUAGGGGGGAUCGGAAUUCCUGGUGUAGCGGUGAAAUGCGCAGAUAUCAGGAGGAACACCGGUGGCGAAGGCGGAUCUCUGGGCCUUACCUGACGCUGAGGAGCGAAAGCAUGGGGAGCAAACAGG